GAUAAACGCUGGCGGCGUGCCUAAUACAUGCAAGUCGAGCGAACGGACGAGAAGCUUGCUUCUCUGAUGUUAGCGGCGGACGGGUGAGUAACACGUGGAUAACCUACCUAUAAGACUGGGAUAACUUCGGGAAACCGGAGCUAAUACCGGAUAAUAUUUUGAACCGCAUGGUUCAAAAGUGAAAGACGGUCUUGCUGUCACUUAUAGAUGGAUCCGCGCUGCAUUAGCUAGUUGGUAAGGUAACGGCUUACCAAGGCAACGAUGCAUAGCCGACCUGAGAGGGUGAUCGGCCACACUGGAACUGAGACACGGUCCAGACUCCUACGGGAGGCAGCAGUAGGGAAUCUUCCGCAAUGGGCGAAAGCCUGACGGAGCAACGCCGCGUGAGUGAUGAAGGUCUUCGGAUCGUAAAACUCUGUUAUUAGGGAAGAACAUAUGUGUAAGUAACUGUGCACAUCUUGACGGUACCUAAUCAGAAAGCCACGGCUAACUACGUGCCAGCAGCCGCGGUAAUACGUAGGUGGCAAGCGUUAUCCGGAAUUAUUGGGCGUAAAGCGCGCGUAGGCGGUUUUUUAAGUCUGAUGUGAAAGCCCACGGCUCAACCGUGGAGGGUCAUUGGAAACUGGAAAACUUGAGUGCAGAAGAGGAAAGUGGAAUUCCAUGUGUAGCGGUGAAAUGCGCAGAGAUAUGGAGGAACACCAGUGGCGAAGGCGACUUUCUGGUCUGUAACUGACGCUGAUGUGCGAAAGCGUGGGGAUCAAACAGGAUUAGAUACCCUGGUAGUCCACGCCGUAAACGAUGAGUGCUAAGUGUUAGGGGGUUUCCGCCCCUUAGUGCUGCAGCUAACGCAUUAAGCACUCCGCCUGGGGAGUACGACCGCAAGGUUGAAACUCAAAGGAAUUGACGGGGACCCGCACAAGCGGUGGAGCAUGUGGUUUAAUUCGAAGCAACGCGAAGAACCUUACCAAAUCUUGACAUCCUUUGACAACUCUAGAGAUAGAGCCUUCCCCUUCGGGGGACAAAGUGACAGGUGGUGCAUGGUUGUCGUCAGCUCGUGUCGUGAGAUGUUGGGUUAAGUCCCGCAACGAGCGCAACCCUUAAGCUUAGUUGCCAUCAUUAAGUUGGGCACUCUAAGUUGACUGCCGGUGACAAACCGGAGGAAGGUGGGGAUGACGUCAAAUCAUCAUGCCCCUUAUGAUUUGGGCUACACACGUGCUACAAUGGACAAUACAAAGGGCAGCGAAACCGCGAGGUCAAGCAAAUCCCAUAAAGCUGUUCUCAGUUCGGAUUGUAGUCUGCAACUCGACUACAUGAAGCUGGAAUCGCUAGUAAUCGUAGAUCAGCAUGCUACGGUGAAUACGUUCCCGGGUCU
rnacentral:rRNA from 1 species